AGGGAAUUUUCCACAAUGGGGGCAACCCUGAUGGAGCAACGCCGCGUGCAGGAUGAAGGCCUUCGGGUUGUAAACUGCUUUUAUCUGUGAAGAUUAUGACGGUAGCAGAUGAAUAAGGAUCGGCUAACUCCGUGCCAGCAGCCGCGGUCAUACGGGGGAUCCAAGCGUUAUCCGGAAUUACUGGGCGUAAAGAGUUGCGUAGGCGGCAUAGUAAGCGAGUAGUGAAAUGACGAGGCUCAACCUCGUGUCCAUUACUUGAACUGCUAAGCUAGAGCAUGAGAGAGGUAGCUGGAAUUCCUAGUGUAGGAGUGAAAUCCGUAGAUAUUAGGAGGAACACCGAUGGCGUAGGCAGGCUACUGGCUCAUUGCUGACGCUCAGGCACGAAAGCGUGGGGAGCGACC
rnacentral:rRNA from 1 species